GCCUUUGGAAGGUGAUUAGGUCACAAGGGCAGAGCCCUAUGAAUGAGACUAGCGUCCUUAUUAAAAAAGACCUCAGGUGAGAGAGGAGAAACUACCAACACAGUAAAGAGACAACCUACAGAAUGGUAGAAAAUUUUCACAAACUAUGCAUCUGACAAAGGUCUAAUAUCCAGCAACUAUAAGGAACUUAAAGAAAUUUACAAGAAAAACAAAACAUAAAAAAAUAGAGAAAAUGAAGUAUUCAGAAGUUAGAUGAUUUGGCCAAAUUUACUGCCUUCAGAGAGAUCUCCUUGUCCAGCUCUAUUUCCAGACAUCACCUGCUUCCGGAUUCCCACCCACCAAUGUGGACUUCCGUGUCUCUAAGCACUAGCUGUUCCCAUGCCCUCUUCCCAUUGUUGCCUUAUCCCUUCCAUAUAUCACUCUGCUGGCCAGCAUGAGCAUGCUUGAGAACCAUCCCCAGCUCCCGCCUCACCCACUUGGCCAGUCUAGGGCACAGUCCAGACCCAUCACCAUCAAACUGGGCCUCAAGCCGUUACCCACACCUGCCCAGCCUUGUCCUAAGCAACUCCUCACGACUUGGAGUUUUUAUAGCUUUCACAGAUGAAAGCUAACAUGCAAAAUGUUCAAAAGGCUUCAGGAAAUAAAAGAGGUAAACAAACUAUUAAAAA